GAAAUUCCUGCCUGGCCCAGCUCUAGGGUCCACAGGGCUCAACUCCAUUGUGCAAGUUGGAGCUCAGAGGCUGAGCUUGGAAUGUGCUAGUCAGCAUCUUGCCUUGUCAGAGGCCUCCAGCCCCAGUGGGACCUGGCCACCAAGUGAGCCCUGGUGGCAGGCGCUCUGCUCGUCCUGCGCCUGGGAACUGAGGACAGGGAAUGCAGAAGGAUGGACACCCUCACCAUGGACACUGCUUCCUCCUGGGCAGGAGGACUUGUGGGACGAUGAUUCUGGAAAAGGAGAUGAUGAUUUGGAUUAUGAUUA
rnacentral:lncRNA from 1 species